rnacentral:lncRNA from 1 species
UAACAUAAGAGAAUGAUACAAAUAUUAGGGAGGUGCAAGAGUUAAUAUGGGCCUAAAACCCAAUUCAAUAAAUAAAUACCCUAAAUAAUAGUAAUAUUAGUAAAUGAUUAAUAAAUAAAUAAAGACAAAUAAAAAUGGAGAAGUGGAGGCGGAUUCCAUGCUAUAAAGAGUUUUGACCCAAUUUUAAAACAAAACAAAAAACUGACCAAU